rnacentral:rRNA from 1 species
CAGCACCUCAAGUGGUCAGGAUGAUUAUUGGGCCUAAAGCAUCCGUAGCCGGCGCUGUAAGUUUUCGGUUAAAUCUGUACGCUCAACGUACAGGCUGCCGGGAAUACUGCAGCGCUAGGGAGUGGGAGAGGUAAACGGUACUCGGUAGGAAGGGGUAAAAUCCUUUGAUCUAUUGAUGACCACCUGUGGCGAAGGCGGUCUACCAGAACACGUCCGACGGUGAGGGAUGAAAGCUGGGGGAGCAAACCGGAUUAGAUACCCGAGUAGUCC